AUUGAACGCUGGCGGAAUGCUUUACACAUGCAAGUCGAACGGCAGCACGGGAGCUUGCUCCUGGUGGCGAGUGGCGAACGGGUGAGUAAUGCGUCGGAACGUACCGAGUAAUGGGGGGAUAACGCAGCGAAAGCUGUGCUAAUACCGCAUACGCCCUGAGGGGGAAAGUGGGGGAUCGCAAGACCUCACGUUAUUCGAGCGGCCGACGUCUGAUUAGCUAGUUGGUGGGGUAAAGCCUACCAAGGCGACGAUCAGUAGCGGGUCUGAGAGGAUGAUCCGCCACACUGGAACUGAGACACGGUCCAGACUCCUAUGGGAGGCAGCAGUGGGGAAUUUUGGACAAUGGGGGCAACCCUGAUCCAGCCAUUCCGCGUGAGUGAAGAAGGCCUCGGGUUGUAAAGCUCUUUCAGCUGGACGAACGGUACAUCCUAAUACGGUGUGCUAAUGACGGUACCAGCAGAAGAAGACACCGGCGUAACUACGUGCCAGCAGCCGCGGUAAU
rnacentral:rRNA from 1 species